GAGAAAUAGGAGAGAAGAGAAGAGUAGAAGGAGAGAAGAGAAGAGCAGAGAAGGAGAGAGAAAGAGGAGAGAAAAAAUAACCCUAAAAAAUAGAAAAAUAAAUAAAAAUAAACGUUACUUUGAAAGAGUUGUGCCUCGCCUUGUCUCCCUCCUCAGUGCCUUGGCAAGAGAGUUGCUCGCCUCUUGGAAUUGGGGCUUGCCUUGUUUUACCUCGCUCCUUGCCUGACGCCUUUAAUAAUACUGCUUUGUGGAAUUCCCUUCUAGGUUAUUUUCCUUUUUAAUGAGUUUGUUGUUAUUUGGAAAAAGGCCGUUAAGUUUUCCCUUUUGACCAAGAAGACAUUUUCGUUGACUAAUUUUUCUAAAAACUACAAAUAGUAGAUGAUACAUAAAAUGUUUUCUACUAUACAAAAUGUUAGCUACAAAAAAAAAGUCAUUCCUCAUUUCUCAAAACACUUUUGUCCUUUUGAGAAGUACACACACACGCAUACACACACUUUCGCACUUGCACACAUUUGUUAUAAUCUUAAAUUUACAAUUGUCCACGAUGAAUUUUCAUUUUUUGGAAGUAUUGCAUGAUCGCUUCAUUAUCAGUACUAUCAAAGACAAAGAAUUAUUCAACAACUGAUCUCCCUAUCGAUUCUGCAAUUGAGUUUUUACAAUCUUCAUUGCAGAAAAUGCCAUUUCAACACUUGUAGUUACAACAUGUAAUGUCAACACUUUACUUGUGAGUCUUUUGACUUAAUUCCUUCUUGUAGAAAAAUCAACAAAAAACAAUUUUCCAAUUGAUUGUUAAAUUAAACAAAUAAAUUUUACCUGUAAAUUAAACACACACGAAUAAUUAGAAAAACUUAAUUUUUGAUUAUUAAUAGAAUAUGAGUUAUAAAAUAAAAAUUUAUCGUAUGAAAUUGAGUUUGUCCUUUGACACAAAAAUAGAAAGGAAAAAAGACAAAGCCAAUUAAUAGAAAAUGAGAGAAAAGAAAAAAAAAAGAGAGAUGAGAGAGGAAAAAAAAAUUUGAUUUUGUGAAUAUGGGAAGAGAAGGGAAGAUAUGAAAGUUAGAAAAGGAAGAGUUAGAGAGGAAAAAGGAGUGGAUGUGUCUUUUAGAGUUUUAGACAGAUAAUUUUGACUUUUUUAGGUUUUAUUAUUUAUUUUAAAAGAUUAAAAUAAUAGGUGUAUAGAGUGAAGUGUUCAACAAGUUUAAAUUUAUUAAAUAUAAUAAU
rnacentral:misc_RNA from 1 species